AAAGGCUUACCAAGCCGAUGACGGAUAACCGGUGUGAGAGCAUGGACGGUCACAAGGGCACUGAGACACGGGCCCUACUCCUACGGGAGGCAGCAGUGGGGAAUAUUGGACAAUGGGCGAAAGCCUGAUCCAGCGACGCCGCGUGAAGGAAGAAGUCCUUCGGGAUGUAAACUUCUGAACUAAUCGAAUAAAAGGGUAGUGGACACACUACAGAAGAAGGUAGAUUAGGAAAAGUCCCGGCUAACUACGUGCCAGCAGCCGCGGUAAGACGUAGGGGGCGAGCGUUGCCCGGAAUCACUGGGUGUAAAGGGGACGUAGGCGGAUGAUCAAGUCAUCUGUGAAAAGAUUGCUCAACGAUUGGCUUGCGGAUGAAACUGGUCAUCUUGGGCGUAGCAGAGGUAGACGGAAUUACCUGAGUAGGGGUGAAAUCCGCAGAUACAGGUAAGAACGCCGGUGAAGAAGUUGGUCUACUGGGCUACAGCUGACGCUGAGGUCCGAAAGCCAGGGGAGCGAACCGGAUUAGAUACCCGGGU
rnacentral:rRNA from 1 species